AGUCAAUUGUCCAGUCAUGGCAUACUCAGGGGCACAGUAACCAUAAGUUCCCAUGACCCUAGUGGACACAUGUGACUUGUCUCCAGUAGGACCAAGUUUUGCUAGCCCAAAAUCUGAUAGCUUCGGGAAAAAGUUCUCCUUGAGCAAUAUGUUGGAUGACUUGAAGUCCCUAUAAAUAACUGGAGGGUUCGCCUUAUCAUGAAGGUGCUCCAAACCUUUUGCUGCACCAGAUGCAAUCUUCAUUCUCGUGUUCCAAUCUAGUGGCUCUUUAUCAGGAGGGAGAUCAUGAAGGUGAUCCUCUAGUGAUCCCAAAGGCAUGAACUCGUAGACAAGAAGUCUCUGGUCCCCGUCAGCACAGUAACCAAUCAAAUUCACCAAGUUAGGAUGAUGAAGAAGACUAAGCAUAAGAACCUCCACCAAAAAUUCUCUAUUCCCCUGAAGCCCAUUCCUAUCCAAUUGCUUAACUGCAACAACCUGACCGCUAGGUAGUUGCCCUUUAUACACACGACCAAACCCUCCUUCCCCUAUAAAAGAUUCUGGCCUGAAGUUAUUAGUAGCAGCUGCAAGCUCACGGAAAGUA
rnacentral:misc_RNA from 1 species